CCUACGGGAGGCAGCAGUGGGGAAUCUUAGNCAAUGGGCGCAAGCCUGAUCUAGCCAUGCCGCGUGAGUGAUGAAGGCCUUAGGGUCGUAAAGCUCUUUCGCCUGUGAUGAUAAUGACAGUAGCAGGUAAAGAAACCCCGGCUAACUCCGUGCCAGCAGCCGCGGUAAUACGGAGGGGGUUAGCGUUGUUCGGAAUUACUGGGCGUAAAGCGCACGUAGGCGGAUUGGAAAGUUGGGGGUGAAAUCCCGGGGCUCAACCCCGGAACUGCCUCCAAAACUAUCAGUCUAGAGUUCGAGAGAGGUGAGUGGAAUUCCAAGUGUAGAGGUGAAAUUCGUAGAUAUUUGGAGGAACACCAGUGGCGAAGGCGGCUCACUGGCUCGAUACUGACGCUGAGGUGCGAAAGUGUGGGGAGCAAACAGGAUUAGAUACCCUGGUAGUCCACACCGUAAACGAUGAAUGCCAGUCGUCGGGCAGUAUACUGUUCGGUGACACACCUAACGGAUUAAGCAUUCCGCCUGGGGAGUACGGUCGCAAGAUUAAAACUCAAAGGAAUUGACGG
rnacentral:rRNA from 1 species